CAAAUGAAUUGACGGGGCCCGCACAAGCGGUGGAGCAUGUGGUUAAUUCGACGCAACGCGAAGAACCUUACCAGGGCUUGACAUCCCCUGACCGCGUAUGAAAGUACGUUUUCACCCUCGGGUGACAGGGAGACAGGUGGUGCAUGGUUGUCGUCAGCUCGUGUCGUGAGAUGUUGGGUUAAGUCCCGCAACGAGCGCAACCCCUACGUUUAGUUGCUAACGCGUGAAGGCGAGCACUCUAGACGAACUGCCGUUGACAAAACGGAGGAAGGUGGGGAUGACGUCAAAUCAUCAUGCCCCUUAUGUUCUGGGCUACACACGUGCUACAAUGGCCGGUACAGACGGACGCAAAGCCGCGAGGUGGAGCAAAUCCUAAAAAGCCGGUCUCAGUUCGGAUUGCAGGCUGCAAUUCGCCUGCAUGAAGUCGGAAUCGCUAGUAAUCGCAGGUCAGCAUACUGCGGUGAAUACGUUCCCGGGCCUU
rnacentral:rRNA from 1 species